UACGUAGGGGGGCUAGCGUUGUCCGGAUUUAUUGGGCGUAAAGAGCUCGUAGGCGGUUUGUCGCGUCUGCUGUGAAAACCCGAGGCUCAACCUCGGGCCUGCAGUGGGUACGGGCAGACUAAAGUGCGGUAGGGGAGAUUGGAAUUCCUGGUGUAGCGGUGGAAUGCGCAGAUAUCAGGAGGAACACCAAUGGCGAAGGCAGAUCUCUGGGCCGUAACUGACGCUGAGGAGCGAAAGCAUGGGGAGCGAACAGG
rnacentral:rRNA from 1 species